rnacentral:misc_RNA from 1 species
GAACUUUCAGAAUGUAAGGUAUUUUAUUCUUUCCUGACUACAAAAUUUCAUGAGCUUUAAAAAGGUUGUGUAGCUUGCAAAGUGAACAAUUCGUCGGGAAUUAUUUGCCUGUGAAACUGCAACUAAUACAAUAUUUGAGAUGAGCUUUUGCUUUUAUUUGUUCAUGACAAUAAACUUUAAAAACUAUUCCUAAGAUGGACAAAACUACCAUCGGCACAAAGUAACAUUCAUGAUCAUUUUUCUUACAAGAUAUAAGUCACUCAACAGACUGGGAAAAAUCAGAUGGUGUGCUGCAAGCAGCAGUUGAAGCUGGUUCUUUGUACCACUGAUUUGCUUCACGAGUUAAGAAAUUAGCUUCUGCAAUUAGACAAUUUCAAGGCCAGCUUAGAACAAAGGCAACGAAUACAAAUAAGAGGAAUAAAGGAAAUGAAUGCCAGUUAUCUCAUUUUAUUAACCAUACAAUUUUAUUCUGCAUAGUGAAAUUAAUUUCGGAACUCUAUAUUAGGAGUUCCAUUAGGCCAUAACUCACCCUAAAAGUGUUUAAUUCAUUAUUUUAUUUUUAUUUCUGUAGUUCUCUUUCAUAUUAUUAUUUUUACACUUACAUGGACAAGGAUGCAAGACUUUUGUUAUCUGUAUCCACACAAAAUAAGUGGUAUCUUGUAUUUUCAUUUCCUCCCUUUAAUUAUUUGAUUGAUGAAUAAAUUCCUCCAUGAUUAUAGGUCACCACAGUCUAUUGCAGGAAUUAGCCUUUAGUUAAUUAGAGCUUGGUGCAUCAUGUCACAGAAGCUAUCAUAAUAAUACAAAACUCAACUAAGCAAAGCAUAUUUGAGUGACUGCAUCAUGCCAAAUACUAAAUAGCCUCACAUCAUAUACAUACCGGUGGUUACAUUACUCAAUUGUUUGAUGAGAGUAGUUCUAAACAAGGUGAUGCACUGAUGGAAAACUCAAUUUAAGAAUGAUUUUGAUUUAAUUUUAACAGCAUAUUUAAAAUCUUCAGUUCAGAUUUUCCAGUACAAUUAGGAAGGUCAGGAAUUCUAUUAUUAUUUAUGAAUAUUUAAAGAGUUCUAUUAGAUUUAGUAUUUUUCUACUUAAUGUUGGUUUUAUAUUCCUCGUCAGAUUAGAUUAGUAUUUUCUUAUUUUUGAAUUCUAAAUCCUAGUAGUAGCAGAAUUAAUAUUAUACUAAAAAUACAUAUAUCAUCCAGGUAUUUUAUUAGACACUAUUAUUAUUGAUAUUGACAACUGAGAAUUAACAGAAUUUGAGUUUUUUAUUUCCACGUGGUUCUACAUCACAAGGUGACUACUUCACAUGCAUUAGUAAUUUGCUUGAGGCUUCAGAAAUAAUAGUGAGACAAUCAAAUAGUAAGAUAGGGAUAAUUAGUCAGACAUACCUGACAAGAAAACAUCCUUAUAGUCAUCAUCAUCAUAUAUAAAUUGUGGAGGAUCUGGCGAACCAAUCCCAACAAUGGUACUUCCGCUGUAUCAAAUAAAUCGGUAAAAAAGAUAGUGGCAAAUGAUUAACCUAUAUAGAAGCUUCAAUCAUCCUAAUAAAAGUUGCAAAAUUAUUGACAUGGCUCGUUUGGCUUAUGAGCACAUUCAAAUGAUCUUACAAUGCUACACCUCAGAAACAGGCUUAUUAUGUACUGCUUAUAAAGAUCGCUGAACUAAUGAAAUUUUCAGAUCUUUAUUUUCUAGUGUUCCAUAACCUAUUUUCCUCGUGGAUUUAAGAUUGUUACAGCUUAAACAUGAUUUAACCUUGCCAUGCUACUUUUCCACAUAAAAACCGAAGUCUUAAAUAUGAUGUGAAUGUGGCACAUGCUUAAGCCAUCAACAUCAUUAGUUAAUGCAUUCAUGACCAUAUUUGACAUGGAAAGCUUCAUGUAAUCUGCAUACAAGUAUUUUAUAGAGGAUAAAUGGAAAAUAAAGGAGACACGGUUAAUGAAUUGUAGAUAACUAUGUUCGAAAGUCAGACACAGGCUUAAUGUGGCUGAACAAGAAUGCAGAAAUCAUAAUAUAAGCUGCCGGCAUUUUCAGACAACAAUCAAGUGGGGUGUUGGGUUUGGAAAUCAAUUAAGGUCAAUCCUGUUCCGAAUUGUUAAGAAAUUCAGCAAGGAUACAAGAGAAGUGCAUAAAGAAAGCCAAUAAAAACAAGGAGAAUAAGAGGAGUGCAAGAUGAAAUAGAGGGAGGGAGCACAAGAAAGUUCACACUAAGCAAACAUCCUUUCAGAGAUUAAUAAGAUGAUUAUUUUAAAAAUGCUCAAUUCUUUUCUAGUCCUAUUACAAUGAGAUAUUCCAAACAAGCCAUUGCUACUUUCAGGAAGAGACGUAUAUAUGGCUUCUGCUAACUGACUUGAGAAACAGUUCCUGAAAUUGUGAUAGCACUAGAAAGGGGAGUCAUAUCAACUGCAAUUUGGUCCUUUUUUUUGUCACAUGCUGAUAUCCAAAAAAUGAGCAUGACAGAUGGAUGUUUGGAUAUACAACAUAGGACCAUAAGAAAAAUGAACGCAUUGGUAACUUGUUUUAGGAAGAAUCAGACAUUGUAACUUGUACCGGAGAGAUAUGGUUAAUUUAAGAGUUAAUUGUAGCUAUGAGCUUAUAACUCGUUUUACACUCAGAAUGGUAACACAAACAGCAAGAUCAUGUCAAGUUUAGAAAUAUGAAAUACAUACCCUGAUUUAAUAAAGCUUUAUCAGUCCAUAUGAAUGCCCAUACAUUUUGUGAUAGUAUCUUGUUUACACUUUUAUAGUUUCUUUUUGUCACUAGAACACAGUUAGUCCUCCUUACCAUCAUUUAAGUUAAAUGGACUCGGAGAAGCAUUAAAAUACUGUAGUCCUCCUUACAAUUAUGUAAGUCACUUGCAAGAUUUAAGGGAAUAUUUGGCAUCAUGCUUGAAAACAAUGGGAUGCAAAUAACUUGAAAACUAAAAAUAAAAUCGUGAAUCUGGUCACAUUUACACGUGCCUAUAUGAAUUAAGGAAAUGAUAAUAGCAGGUUAAAUGUGUUACUUAUUUAUGCCAUAGACAUACAAAUAGGAAAAUCUAGUAUUUGUACCUCCCAGACAUAAAAACUGCAUCAUAUUGUCCACGGCUUGCUGAAAUUAUACGUUGUUUUAAUCUUUUAAGAGAUGGGAGAACUUCAAAUGCAGGAGGUUCUGCAGAGAACACAUAUGAGAAUGCAUUAAAUGUUCUAUCACCCACAAUUAAGAAAAACAAAAUGUUGGAUUGCAAUAAGAAUGCAUUGUGGCUGUCCAAACUAACACAAAUGUAGUGUCAUCAGUGAUUGAUUCCAACUUUUUCCAUGGUAAGUAUGCCUAUUGAUUUUGAUACUGCUUCCAUUAGAAUCAGGUUGUAUCCUAUUCAACAGAUUAUGAAUUAGCUCAGGCUGAGGGGUCUUUUUGUGUUUAUUAUUUUGAACAAAACUUGCACUUCCCAUUCAGUUUUGGUUAUCUGCCUCAUCUGAGUGCUUCUCAUCUACUUAUAUAUCUAUCUAUUUAUGUUUUUUCAAACAGUCAAACCUGAAGCCACCUGAUUGUCCACACACCUAAAACAGCCCAGUAGGGUUGUUACAGCUCAGAUUGCAUAUUUGAAUAAUGAAAAUGGAGAAAAAAUGAAGGGAAAACCAAGACAAAAAAAGUAAAAGGAGAAAAAGCAAAAUUAACAAAGAUCAGGUAUCCCUAUAAUUUAUUACCCAAAUCAUUGAUACAAACAUCUUGAGAUAUUCCAUUCCUUGAGAUCUUCUCCAGUAAAGUUAAAGGAUCAACCUGACUGGUUUUAUCCAAUCGAAAACGCUUGUAAACUUCAGCAGUUGAACAAGCCUCCUGGGGCUUUAUGAGAACCAUUGGAAGGUCUAGAGGAACUGGUGAAGGAAUAUCUUGAACAAUCUGGACAAAAGAGAGAAAAACCUUAAUUUGGAAACCAAAUAGAGAGUCGUGUGUGUCUAUCUGUUGCUUUGGAAAUGCAGGAUCAAUAAUGUUAAUGGCACUGUAUGCUUCUAAUAUUACUAUGAGAAAUAAGUUUUACGUGAUUCAAAUUGUCUUGUGCAAAAAUGUCAGUACUUGUUCUCGAUGCCUGCAACAUUGACUAGGAUCUGAUGCUCUGAUCAACAAGAACAUGAGUCGGGAGUGAUUCUCUCAAGGAAACAUAUUGCAUCUAAUAGCCCAAAUAUUGUCAUGCUUGAUAGACUGUCCAAUUCACCUAAGCUUUAAUCAUAAAUUGGUUAGGGUUGACAGCAUGAAUCCUUUUACUCCAUUCUACCCUCUUUAUGGCCAUAUUUUCCUCAAUAUGUUGCCAAACUAGGGUCACAGAGACACAGACUCACAAUACAUAUGCAUUAUACAACAGCACUAAUUUCAUUGCAGUGACAACAAAUAGAUAACACAAGUGGGUUUGAAGACCAAAUCAAACCACCCAGAGAGCUCCAGAAAGAGGAUGAUCCAUGAAUCUGAAGGACCAAGGUUACCAUUGUAUUCACUGUGAAACCAUUGCAAAGAGGGGAACUCUAUUUAGCUAUCUCAAGAGACUAAGCAAAAUCUCAGCAGAGUCCAUGAAUAAAUGAUUAUCUUUUCCAAUCUUAGAGUAUGGUUGGAAUGUAGAACAAAAUAGGGAAUUAUAUCUUAGGGCUGCAUCUUAAAGCAAAUUAAAGACUUACUUCACCCCGACCAGUACAAUAUGCUGCUCCAUGAGAAAAAAAGAAGGAUAUAUCUGAACCAAUCUCACUUGACCAUUCUAGCAGUUCAUUCUCUGUGGCAAGACCACCACUGAACUGAUUUGCUGCCCAUAGGGCAGUUGCAGCAUUACUGCUUCCACCUCCAAGCCCUGCCCCGGUAGGCACCUUCUUAUCUAGAUGAAUCCAAAAGAAGUUGUCAGUGCCGGUUUUUUUCCUGUAAAGGUUAAGGGCUUUAAUAAUCAAAUUCCUUUCAUCAAGGGGUACACCAGACACAUUAGUUGAUAAACGGUCCUUGGAUUUUGAAGGAGAUAAAGAGAACUUAAUUGUAUCUCCUAGGCUAAUUACAUGAAAGAGAGAUGCCAAAUCAUGAUAUCCAUCUUCUCUCUUAUCAGUUAUUCUGAGGAAAAUAUUAAUCUUGCAAGGCGAGAACAAAGUGAGCCUUGAAAGAGGAGCAUUCUUGUCUACUUCAUCUGCCCACUUGUUUAACCUUUCAUCGGGAUCAUACACUAUCUCUAGCUGCUUCUUGGAGGCUUUGACAAAUGGGGUCCUUUGUCUUUGGUAAAAGGAGACAGACCCACUUGGCCUAAACGAAGGCAGAUUGCUUUUGGCAAAGGAAUUGCAAGAAGGGUGGAAGACAUGGUUGUUGCAGAGAAAAUGAGCGGAAGCCAUGGCUGCUAGCCCUGCAGUUGCAAUCUCAAGCACAUGGAUUAAUUGGUUUGAAAUAGUAUAGAAGAAGUAUUAGAAUUCCAAUGGCUGCUUAAUUAUUUUAUUUGUUAUCUAUUUAUCUAUCAAUUUUGCAGUCAAUUUUGAACAGCCAGAAAGGUAUCAAAUCUUCAUCAUCCUUAUUUUUCUAC